AACGAACGCUGGCGGCAGGCUUAACGCAUGCAAGUCGAACGCCCCGCAAGGGGAUUGGCAGACGGGUGAGUAACGCGUGGGGACAUACCCUUUUCUAUGAACUAGCUCUGGGAAACGGGAAUUAAUACCGUAUACGCCCUACGGGGGAAAGAUUUAUCGGGGAAGGAUUGGCGCGCGUUGGAUUUGCUGGGGGGGGGGGUAGAGGCCUACCAAGGCGACGAUCCAUAGCUGUGCUGAGAGCAUGAGAAUCCACAUUGGGACUGAGACACGGCCCACACUCCUAGGGGACGCAGCGGUGGGGAAUAUUGGACGAUGGGCGCAAGCCUGAUCACGCCGUGCCGGGUGAGUGAUGCAGCCCUUAGGGUUGUAAAGCUGUCUCACAGAUGAAGAUAAUGACGGUAGUCGGAGAAGAAGCACCGGCUAACUUCGUG
rnacentral:rRNA from 1 species